rnacentral:rRNA from 1 species
GAGACUCUGUGCGCGUGCAUAUCAAUAAGCGGAGGAAAGGAAACUAACAAGGAUUCCCUUAGUAACGGCGAGUGAAGCGGGAAGAGCUCAAAUUUGAAAUCUUCAAGGUUCUACCUUGACGAAUUGUAGUUUAUAGAAGUGUUUUCUGUUAGUGGAGUGGCAAAAGUUCUUUGGAAUAGGACAUCAUAGAGGGUGAGAAUCCCGUAUUUGACCGUUACUUUCCAGCUGUGUGAUACACUUUCAAAGAGUCGGAUUGUUUGGGAAUGCAGUCCAAGAUGGGUGGUAAAUUUCAUCUAAAGCUAAAUAUUGGCGAGAGACCGAUAGCGAACAAGUACCGUGAGGGAAAGAUGAAAAGAACUUUGAAAAGAGAGUUAAACAGUACGUGAAAUUGUCAAAAGGGAAGCGUUUGACACCAGUGUUGUUUAGUUGAAAAUCAAUUCAAUAAUUUUUCGAUUUUAAGUAGUAUUGACCUUCAUCAGCUUGCUGCUUUCUUUCUCAGGAAUUAUUGAAUGCACUUUUCAGUUAACAAGUCAACAUCAAUUUCUUUUGUUGUAAAAAGGGUAAGAGGAAGGUGGCUUACGCUUCCGGCGUCAAGUGUUUAUAGCCUUUUACCCUCUGCAAUCGGAGAGAUUGAGGUAGCAGCGUAGACUCCUUCGGGGUUAGGUACACUUGUGCUAAGCUAUAGCCUUGUAUAGACAACUUGUUGACUAUGCUCAGUCAUGUAGCUUACUCGCUUGUGCUAUUUUACCUACGCUUAGGAUGUUGACAGCAGUAUAGACUGU